AUGGGAAGUGUUCCGGCAGCCACCCCGAGCGUGCGCGAGAUCUGGCGCGCGCAGCGCGCAGACGGGCCGGCGGCCGUGCUCGCCAUCGGCACGGCGAACCCGGCGCACUGCGUGCCCCAGGACGAGUUCCCGGACUUCUACUUCCGCGCCACCAACAGCGACCACCUCACCGCCCUCAAGGGCAAGUUCAAGAGAGUCUUUCAGAAGCUAGGCGUUGAGAAACGCUACCUCCACCACACGGAGGAGCUGCUCCGCGCCCACCCCGAGUUCCUCGACGACCAGGCGGCGUCCCUGGACGCCCGGCUUGACAUCGUCGCCACCGCCGUCCCGGAGCUGGCCGCGGAGGCCUCUAAGAAGGCCAUCGCCGAGUGGGGCCGGCCGGCCGCCGACAUCACCCACCUCGUAGUCACCACAAACUCCGGCGCCCACAUCCCGGGCGUCGACUUCCGCCUCAUCGCGCUCCUCGGGCUCCGCCCCAACGUGCGCCGCACCAUGCUCUACCUCAACGGCUGCUUCGCCGGCUCCGCCGCGCUGCGCCUCGCCAAGGACCUCGCCGAGAACAACCGCGGCGCGCGCGUCCUCGUGGUCUGCGCGGAGCUCACCCUCAUGCUGUUCAACGGGCCCAAGGAGGGCUCCUUCGAGAGGCUCAUCCACCAGGGGCUCUUCGGCGACGGCGCGGGCGCUGUCGUCGUCGGCGCAGACCCGCUGAGCCCCGUCGAGCACGCUCUGUUCGAGAUGGUGUCCGCCGCGCAGACGGUGAUCCCGGACUCCGGCGACGCCAUCACCAUGCACAUCACCAAGGGCGGCCGCCGAGUGCUGAGCGACUACGGCAACAUGUUCGGCGUGACGAUUAUAUUUGUCCUAGACGAGCUGCGGCGGAGGCUUAGGGAGCAGGAAGGGGUCGGCGGCGCGCCGGAGUGGGGUGUGGUGAUGACCUUCGGGCCGGGGCUCACCGUGGAGACGAUGGUGUUGCACGCCACAGAGCACAUGCAUGCGUCCCCAUGA
rnacentral:rRNA from 1 species